AAUAGUUUUAGUUUUAAUAAUUUCUUGAUGUGAUUGUACUUCCUCUAGAAUUCAUAUCAUAAUCAUCAUAAUUUAGUUUCACUCCUAAAUUUGGGGUAACUGUUCCCUCAGAACUUCUAUUGUCCUGUUGCACCUAAAAGAAUCAGUCUCAGCGGCAGCGCCAUCCUUACCCAUUGUGGGCCUUAUGUUCCUUUAGAAGCCUUAAGAGCUUAUAUUUUUUUCGUAAAUUUCAUGAGACUCUGUUUAGGUAUGGGUUAUUUACAUAUUUUAGUUGAUAAUACUGAAUAGCUAAUGAACUUUUUCAGAAUAUAUGCCUUUUUUCUCAGGUGUUAGAAAUUUAUGCUUUGUGUGUUCUAGGAAAUUCUUUUGGCCUUAUAUUCUAAUCCUUAAAAAGACAGAUUAAUCCCAACAAUUUUACUUUUAAUUUUUAAAAAUUUGAUUUUUUUAUGGUUGCUUAUUACAAUUGUUCUGGAAGUUAAUCUCUUUCCAUCAGGGUCAGCUUUUAGGUCUUUUUCUUUGCUCCAGAAACCUCUAUCUCCUCAUUUUCAUUGUAUUCUUCCAAAAAACUGUAUCCAUUAACAUUUAAAUUUUGUCUUUUUCCCAGCUGAGUGUUAGCCCCAUGGCGGUGGGAACCCUUACAUCUUCUUCAGUGUAGUAUCUCCACUGUCUAAGCACUGCAUGGCACGAGGUUUGAUGUCCUUACAAAAGAGGCUGUGGACUUGUUGACUCCCAGGACCAUGUGAGAAACUAGAUAGAAGAUAAUGUCAAGUUUGAAGACAUUUCCAAGAAUUGAAUCUGCAAGUUCGCCCUGAAAACGCC
rnacentral:lncRNA from 1 species